CCUCACAGUCUCUUUCCUAGCCACCUUCCCCUAAUAGCAUUUUUUUAACAAUGAAGGUUGUGGUUACUUAUACAACUUUCACUACAUAUCAAGCUGUGAUGGGGUGACUACCCCACACUCACCAUGCAGGGUUAAAUACAAGCUAGAUGGGCCAAUUAACCCACUCAGCAGCUGACUGAGGAGACUCAACUGAGGGGUGUAUCCUUUAAAGCCCAGGAAUUGAAUGGAGAAGAGAUUGCUGGAGAAAGGAAAGACAUACCCAGGAGAAAGGGAGGACUGCAGUCGCUCCCUAGAAAAAGGGAAGAGGCAUUUCGGAACUGGUAACCCCAAAAAGAAAAGGCAACCAGAAAUGAGGAAUGUACAGUUUGUGACCACCUGUGACAGCUCCUGUCUUCAUCCACAACACACCUUCCAACUUCUGCAACAAAUGAAGCAGUGGUCCUAGAGACAACAGCCUCUUAAUUUACAUAGCCCUGGUUCAUCCCUAGAGCAAGUCCAUCCUGUGCACUGAAAGAAGCAGGAGUCCUUGUGGAAAAAAAAUGGAGAACUGAGGCAUUGAGACACUUUCCAAAGGUCAGAGCAAGGAAUUACAUGAAGAUAGCCAAAAUUCCAGGCUAACAUCCUAACCACUGGGCUAUCCUUUCUCAUUUGGAUAGCCUACUUUGUACUACAUUACUUUCCCACAGAAGAUUGCAGAGACUAGAAUGUGUAACUUUUACUCAUGGGGAGGGUCACUUACAGGAGACUGCACCUAGAUAGCACCACAAAAGGAGCAAGGAGAGAUACAGAGCGCGCACACACACACACACACACACACACAGCCAGAGAGAAAAGUAGAAGGAGAUGGGGGUUGUACUAGGGAAAUCUUUGAAGCUUCACCUCGCGUAUUUCCACACAAGCUCAGACAGAGGCUGAUAUCUUACAUGUAGACUAUGGCUGUAGUAUUGGGAUUUUCAAAGAUGCCUGUCUGGGGUCUACUAUUCACAGUUUGGCAGCACCUCCUGUUGGCUCAUCUGGGAGAUUAGUUCACAACUCUCCACAUCCCCUCCAGCAUUUGCCCGUUACUCCAGUCACUCAACCUGCAGUCCCAAAAUCUCAGCAGUCUCCCUAUCACUGCACUCACUGUGCCACUACCUUACAGCUAAUAGAAGAGCCCACACUCCACUCCAAGUUCCAGUCCGGGACCCUCAAAUCAGGUCCACGUGGUCUCAACUUUACUGCUCCAUCCUUGGACUACUUCCUACAUUCCUGUUACAGGCUCCCCCUUGUAUCAGGAAGUGUGACUGCAGGCUUCCUCACUACCGCCCACUUCUCUGUGCUGUCAGCUCCCCGGUGCUCUAGAAUCCUUUCCUGUUUCUGCCCAUGUGAAAUUCAUCCCCAAUUAAGUCUCAUUGCGUCCUAGCUCCCUCCAGCAUGCAGCAUAUGACUAAUUGGCUUCUCUUGCCUAUAUUUAGCCUCUCCUGUCCUGAAUUAGUGUGGUUAAUAUGUGGGUUAGUGUGUGGUGAACACUGCAUUAGAGGGCCUCAGAGAUUAAUAUGUCUAGUGGAAAUCCAAAGCCCUUAGUUGUCUUUGAAAAUCAUGUUACACCAUGUAAGUUUUGGUGUUACCUGUACAAAUCUGCAGUGUGAAUUCAUUUACAGUGAGUAGGAAGGGCUUAAUUUUAUGUUCACCUUCAAACAUUGGGCUGAAUCUUUGCAAUUGGUUUUGUCAACAAUAUGGGUAUGUUGUUGUUACCCUGAAAUUGUGACUGCACCUGUGUCUCCCUCUCCAUGGUCCAUUCCAGGAGUGUCUAAUCAAGUUUCAGGUCUCUAGCUAUCACAUGUCUACAUAGGGUCACAUUUCACACUCCCUUCUGACCACAGAAUUUAAGGUUGGCCAGUUCCCUACUUUACACUAUGACAUCCCCAACAAGCCAGUCUGCUUAAAGGUGAGCACCUGUAUGUUGAUUUGUCACUGAGGGCUAAGAACUGUGUAUUGCCAAAAGUUACCACACAGCUUUUUCUGAGCAAGCACAGUUAUUCUUAAGGUAUAAGCAUUACAAUGAAAAUCUCCAGAAAUUCCUGUAAACAUACUAAAAGCUCACCAUAUGUCACCUAUCUGUCUUAUAUGAACCUAGUAAGCCUAAGUCAUUCUAACCCUUCUCCAAGGACAGAAGAUCACAUCCAUUUGCUAUACCAGAAAGAAGGCCCUGAGGCAAUUUAAAUACAUUUUUUUAAUGCCAAAAGACCUUUCUUUGUCUGUUGGUGUCCAAAAAUCCCAAUAUGAACCAGUAUAUGCAGGCCCUCUCGGGGAAUGCUACCUUUCUGAAUGAACUCCUACAUUAAAAUGAUAAAAGACAAAAACACCAUAUCACCCAUUUUAACAAAAUGAUCACCUCCAAAUGUAACCUUUCAGUCCUCAUCCUCAAAGAAAACCUGCAGAACAUCCUCAAAAGAUGAAUCUAGGAGCUUAAAUUCAUAACUUUGCCAGGCAUUAAAAAUCAUGAUCCUAAUAAAGAGACUGGAUUUACAGCUUAUCACAACAAUCUGUAACUUCUAGCCCUGGUUUUUUGUUUUUUGUUUUUUUGGUCCUAUGACUGUCAAUAGGCCACUUCACUUGGAAUGGUCUCUUACAAUAUGUAUUAACUGUUUAUGCUAAACAACUGGUUCCACUUAUAUCUAGCUGACACUCAGAGUACCCUUCCCAGAGCUGAAAAAGGGCUCCGUGUAGCUCAAAAUUGAAUCUCUUUCACCAAUAGAAGUUGGUCCAAUAAAAGUUAUUACCUCACUCACUUUGUCUCUUUACAAUCUAAAU